UACGUAGGGUGCGAGCGUUAAUCGGAAUCACUGGGCGUAAAGCGUGCGCAGGCGGUUUUGUAAGCCAGAUGUGAAAGCCCCGGGCUUAACCUGGGAAUGGCAUUUGGGACUGCAAGGCUUGAGUGCGGCAGAGGAGACUGGAAUUCCCGGUGUAGCAGUGAAAUGCGUAGAUAUCGGGAGGAAUACCGAUGGCGAAGGCAGGUCUCUGGGCUGACACUGACGCUCAUGCACGAAAGCGUGGGGAGCAAACAGG
rnacentral:rRNA from 1 species